AGAGUUUGAUCAUGGCUCAGAUUGAACGCUGGCGGAAUGCUUUACACAUGCAAGUCGAACGGCAGCACGGGGGCAACCCUGGUGGCGAGUGGCGAACGGGUGAGUAAUACAUCGGAACGUGCCCAAUCGUGGGGGAUAACGUAGCGAAAGCUACGCUAAUACCGCAUACGAUCUACGGAUGAAAGCGGGGGAUCGCAAGACCUCGCGCGAAUGGAGCGGCCGAUGGCAGAUUAGGUAGUUGGUGGGGUAAAGGCUCACCAAGCCGACGAUCUGUAGCUGGUCUGAGAGGACGACCAGCCACACUGGGACUGAGACACGGCCCAGACUCCUACGGGAGGCAGCAGUGGGGAAUUUUGGACAAUGGGCGAAAGCCUGAUCCAGCCAUUCCGCGUGCAGGAUGAAGGCCCUCGGGUUGUAAACUGCUUUUGUACGGAACGAAAAGGCUCCUUCUAAUACAGGGGGCUCAUGACGGUACCGUAAGAAUAAGCACCGGCUAACUACGUGCCAGCAGCCGCGGUA
rnacentral:rRNA from 1 species